rnacentral:rRNA from 1 species
UACGGGGGGGUGCGAGCGUUGUCCGGAAUCACUGGGCGUAAAGGGCGCGUAGGUGGUUUGAUAAGGGUGUGGUGAAAGUCCGGGGCUCAACCCCGGAUCUGCCGUGCCGACUGUCAAACUCGAGGGCUGUAGAGGCAGACGGAAUUCCGGGUGUAGCGGUGGAAUGCGCAGAUAUCAGGAGGAACACCGGUGGCGAAGGCGGGACUCUGGGCCGAUACUGACGCUGAGGAGCGAAAGCGUGGGGAGCGAACAGG